CGUAGGAUCUCAGUAGGAGGACUGCGGAGGUCAUUACUGAAUGAACUUGGUGUGUUUGUUGCUGGCCCUUUCGGCGGUGUUGCUUCCCCGCCAUCCUCCUCUCUCCACCUGUGCACCUCUCGCCCACUUGGAUUGACUUUCCCAGGCAACUCUCUCAAACUCUYUGGUAUUACAGUGCUGGCUUUCUUUGCAUUUCAAAGACUAUGUUUUUCUUAUCCCCCAAUGUAUGGAACCUAAUGUCAUAUUGGACCCUUGCGCCUAGCAACCUUAUACGACUUUCGCCAAAGUAUCUCUUGGCUCUCGCAUUUGUGAAGAAUUGCGCCCGUGCGAUUCUAAUGGGAAUUGCAGAUCUAACGGCAUUUCAACCCCUUUGAACUGACCUUGCGCUCCUUGCUAUUCCUACGAUAAUGCCUGUUUGAAUGUCAUUAAAUUCUCACCUUUUAUAACGUUUUGCUGAUGAUGCCUUGUAUGGGCGUUUUUAUUUUGCUCCUGCCUUUAAAGAUGCCAUCUUCCCCUUAAAUUGACCUCGGAUGCCCCGCAAGAACUGCCUAUUGUUGUGAUAUCUAUCUACGCAGUAGACAUCUGCAAUCAUAUGGGUUUGCACUGCUUCCAAUCGUCUGUUCAAUCAGACAAUACAUGACAAUUUGACCUCAAAUCAGGUAGGACUACCCGCUGAACUUAAGCAUAUCAAUAAGCGGAGGACUG
rnacentral:rRNA from 1 species